rnacentral:rRNA from 1 species
UACGUAGGUGGCAAGCGUUAUCCGGAAUUAUUGGGCGUAAAGGGUGCGUAGGUGGUUUCUUAAGUCAGAGGUGAAAGGCUACGGCUCAACCGUAGUAAGCCUUUGAAACUGGGAAACUUGAGUGCAGGAGAGGAGAGUGGAAUUCCUAGUGUAGCGGUGAAAUGCGUAGAUAUUAGGAGGAACACCAGUGGCGAAGGCGACUUACUGGACUGUAACUGACGCUGAGGCACGAAAGCGUGGGGAGCAAACAGGAUUAGAUACCCUGGUAGUCCCUGA